rnacentral:lncRNA from 13 species
CUUGAUGACAAGUAUCUACAGGAGGACCAAGAAAAUCCUUCUGGAUUUUGGAGUGUCAGCCUUGACUCCCCUUCUUUCUGAACUCUCUUGAUCGGCUUCAGGCUCCCGUGUCAGGUCAGCAGUGUCAUGGAGAGCUUGUCCCUGGGUGGGGACAGGAUCCCAGCCAGGCCAUAAAUGGGGGCCUUGGGUGGAGGGAGCGUGAG